rnacentral:rRNA from 1 species
GUCGAACGGCAGCACGGGGGCAACCCUGGUGGCGAGUGGCGAACGGGUGAGUAAUACAUCGGAACGUGUCCUGUAGUGGGGGAUAGCCCGGCGAAAGCCGGAUUAAUACCGCAUACGCUCUGCGGAGGAAAGCGGGGGAUCCUUCGGGACCUCGCGCUACAGGGGCGGCCGAUGGCAGAUUAGCUAGUUGGUGGGGUAAAGGCCUACCAAGGCGACGAUCUGUAGCUGGUCUGAGAGGACGACCAGCCACACUGGGACUGAGACACGGCCCAGACUCCUACGGGAGGCAGCAGUGGGGAAUUUUGGACAAUGGGGGCAACCCUGAUCCAGCAAUGCCGCGUGUGUGAAGAAGGCCUUCGGGUUGUAAAGCACUUUUGUCCGGAAAGAAAACUUCGGGGCUAAUACCUCUGGGGGAUGACGGUACCGGAAGAAUAAGCACCGGCUAACUACGUGCCAGCAGCCGCGGUAAUACGUAGGGUGCAAGCGUUAAUCGGAAUUACUGGGCGUAAAGCGUGCGCAGGCGGUCCGCUAAGACAGAUGUGAAAUCCCCGGGCUUAACCUGGGAACUGCAUUUGUGACUGGCGGGCUAGAGUAUGGCAGAGGGGGGUAGAAUUCCACGUGUAGCAGUGAAAUGCGUAGAGAUGUGGAGGAAUACCGAUGGCGAAGGCAGCCCCCUGGGCCAAUACUGACGCUCAUGCACGAA